GGCCAAGUUUUUAAGGGCGCACGGUGGAUGCUUGGCACCAGGAACCGAUGAAGGACGUGGGAGGCCACGAUAGUCCCCGGGGAGUCGUCAACCAGGCUUUGAUCCGGGGGUUUCCGAAUGGGGAAACCCGGCAGUCGUCAUGGGCUGUCACCCAUACCUGAACACAUAGGGUAUGUGGAGGGAACGCGGGGAAGUGAAACAUCUCAGUACCCGCAGGAAGAGAAAACAACCGUGAUUCCGGGAGUAGUGGCGAGCGAAACCGGAUGAGGCCAAACCGUAUGCGUGUGAGACCCGGCAGGGGUUGCGCAUGCGGGGUUGUGGGAUCUCUCUUUCACAGUCUGCCGGCUGUGAGGCGAGUCAGAAACCGUUGAUGUAGGCGAAGGACAUGCGAAAGGUCCGGCGUAGAGGGUAAGACCCCCGUAGUCGAAACGUCAGCGGCUCGUUUGAGAGACACCCAAGUAGCACGGGGCCCGAGAAAUCCCGUGUGAAUCUGGCGGGACCACCCGCUAAGCCUAAAUAUUCCCUGGUGACCGAUAGCGGAUAGUACCGUGAGGGAAUGGUGAAAAGUACCCCGGGAGGGGAGUGAAAUAGUACCUGAAACCGUGUGCCUACAAGCCGUGGGAGCGUCGGAUGGAAGCUUGCUUCCAUCUCGUGACUGCGUGCCUUUUGAAGAAUGAGCCUGCGAGUUUGCGGUGUGUUGCGAGGUUAACCCGUGUGGGGAAGCCGUAGCGAAAGCGAGUCCGAACAGGGCGAUUCAGUAGCGCGCUCAAGACCCGAAGCGGAGUGAUCUAGCCAUGGGCAGGUUGAAGCGGAGGUAAGACUUCGUGGAGGACCGAACCCACCAGGGUUGAAAACCUGGGGGAUGACCUGUGGUUAGGGGUGAAAGGCCAAUCAAACUCCGUGAUAGCUGGUUCUCCCCGAAAUGCAUUUAGGUGCAGCGUCGUGUGUUUCUUGCCGGAGGUAGAGCACUGGAUAGGCGAUGGGCCCUACCGGGUUACUGACCUUAGCCAAACUCCGAAUGCCGGUAAGUGAGAGCACGGCAGUGAGACUGUGGGGGAUAAGCUCCAUGGUCGAGAGGGAAACAGCCCAGAGCAUCGACUAAGGCCCCUAAGCGUACGCUAAGUGGGAAAGGAUGUGGAGUCGCACAGACAACCAGGAGGUUGGCUUAGAAGCAGCCACCCUUGAAAGAGUGCGUAAUAGCUCACUGGUCUAGUGAUUCCGCGCCGACAAUGUAGCGGGGCUCAAGCGUACCGCCGAAGUCGUGUCAUUGACAUAUAUAGCCCUAACGGGUGUGUUGAUGGGUAGGGGAGCG
rnacentral:ncRNA from 1 species